rnacentral:rRNA from 1 species
CCUACGGGAGGCUGCAGUGGGGAAUAUUGCACAAUGGGGGAAACCCUGAUGCAGCAACGCCGCGUGAGUGAUGACGGCCUUCGGGUUGUAAAGCUCUGUCUUCAGGGACGAUAAUGACGGUACCUGAGGAGGAAGCUACGGCUAACUACGUGCCAGCAGCCGCGGUAAUACGUAGGUGGCUAGCGUUGUCCGGAUUUACUGGGCGUAAAGGGAGCGUAGGCGGACUUUUAAGUGAGAUGUGAAAUACCCGGGCUCAACUUGGGUGCUGCAUUUCAAACUGGAAGUCUAGAGUGCAGGAGAGGAGAAUGGAAUUCCUAGUGUAGCGGUGAAAUGCGUAGAGAUUAGGAAGAACACCAGUGGCGAAGGCGAUUCUCUGGACUGUAACUGACGCUGAGGCUCGAAAGCGUGGGGAGCAAACAGGAUUAGAUACCCCAGUAGUC